GGAUUGUGGCUCAGUGGGAGAGCGCCUGCCUCGCACAUAUGAGGCACUGGAUUCAAUCCUCAGCACCA
rnacentral:tRNA from 1 species